ACGUAGGAGGCGAGCGUUAUCCGGAUUUACUGGGUGUAAAGCGCGUGCAGGCGGUUUAGCAAGUCGUGCGUGAAAGCGCUCUGGCUCAACCGGGCGAGGACGUGCGGAACUGCUGAACUAGAGGCAGGUAGAGGCGUGUGGAAUUCCGGGUGUAGUGGUGAAAUGCGUAGAGAUCCGGAGGAACACCAGAGGCGAAGGCGACACCCUGGGCCGUACCUGACGCUGAGGUGCGAAAGCUAGGGGAGCAAACGG
rnacentral:rRNA from 1 species